rnacentral:rRNA from 1 species
AACGAACGCUGGCGGCAGGCUUAACACAUGCAAGUCGAACGCCCCGCAAGGGGAGUGGCAGACGGGUGAGUAACGCGUGGGAAUCUACCCAGAACUUCGGAACAACUGAGGGAAACUUCAGCUAAUACCGGAUACGCCCUACGGGGAAAGAUUUAUCGGUUUUGGAUGAGCCCGCGUUGGAUUAGCUAGUUGGUGAGGUAAUGGCUCACCAAGGCGACGAUCCAUAGCUGGUCUGAGAGGAUGAUCAGCCACACUGGGACUGAGACACGGCCCAGACCUCCUACGGGAGGCAGCAGGUGGGGAAUAUUGGACAAGUGGGCGCAAGCCUGAUCCAGCCAUGCCGCGUGAGUGAUGAAGGCCUUAGGGUUAGUAAAGCUCUUUCAGGUAGGGAAGAUAAUGACUGUACCC